rnacentral:rRNA from 1 species
GACGAACGCUGGCGGCGUGCUUAACACAUGCAAGUCGAACGGAAAGGCCCUGCUUUUGUGGGGUGCUCGAGUGGCGAACGUGUGAGUAACACGUGAGUAACCUUCCCUUGACUUUGGGAUAACUUCAGGAAACUGGUGCUAAUACCUGAUAGGAGCUCCUGCUGCAUGGUGGGGUUUGGAAAGUUUCGGCGGUUGGGGAUGGACUCGCGGCUUAUCAGCUUGUUGGUGGGGUAGUGGCUUACCAAGGCUUUGACGGGUAGCCGGCCUGAGAGGGUGACCGGCCACAUUGGGACUGAGAUACGGCCCAGACUCCUACGGGAGGCAGCAGUGGGGAAUAUUGCACAAUGGGCGGAAGCCUGAUGCAGCAACGCCGCGUGCGGGAUGAAGGCCUUCGGGUUGUAAACCGCUUUCGCCUGUGACGAAGCGUGAGUGACGGUAAUGGGUAAAGAAGCACCGGCUAACUACGUG